AUUGAACGCUGGCGGCAGGCCUAACACAUGCAAGUCGAACGGCAGCACAGAAGAGCUUGCUCUUUGGGUGGCGAGUGGCGGACGGGUGAGUAAUGUCUGGGAAACUGCCCGAUGGAGGGGGAUAACUACUGGAAACGGUAGCUAAUACCGCAUAACGUCGCAAGACCAAAGUGGGGGACCUUCGGGCCUCACACCAUCGGAUGUGCCCAGAUGGGAUUAGCUAGUAGGUGGGGUAAUGGCUCACCUAGGCGACGAUCCCUAGCUGGUCUGAGAGGAUGACCAGCCACACUGGAACUGAGACAUGGUCCAAACUCCUACGGGAGGCAGCAGUGGGGAAUAUUGCACAAUGGGCGCAAGCCUGAUGCAGCCAUGCCGCGUGUAUGAAGAAGGCCUUCGGGUUGUAAAGUACUUUCAGCGGGGAGGAAGGCGGUGAGGUUAAUAACCUUGCCGAUUGACGUUACCCGCAGAAGAAGCACCGGCUAACUCCGUGCCAGCAGCCGCCGCCG
rnacentral:rRNA from 1 species